AUGAUCAUCGAUGGUUGGUCGUACUACUUUUACGUGAUUAUCCUGAUAGUUCCGGUUUAUCUGGCGUUUAAGCUCCUCCAGUGGAUGGGAUGGUCACUCUUUGUCAACAAUUAGCACUCCCGGCUGAUAACAGCUCUAAAAAGUCUGAUUUAUCUUUCGUACACUAAAGCCGUCCUGAGGUCUUCUAAAGGCAGACUAGACUACUAACUAAUUGCUAAUCAAUUAGUUACUACUGAACUGAAGUUAGGCUUUAAAGAUAUGUUUAAAAAUAAUUAACUUCUAGAACUCCAACUUACUAAGCCUGUUAAACCGGUUUUAUACUGGCUGGAAACAGCUUUAAAACAACAUCUGAAAGUCUUCUAAAGACAGAUCCAGACAACUUCUCCUAAUCAACAACGGAUUAUGAGCAAAACUACUGAACUUGUAAGAAUUCCAGAUAAAUAGUUAAGAUAUAGUUAGGCCUUAAAGAUCUGCUUAAAAAUGUAAGUCUUAAGGCUGGAUAGACUAGAAAUUUCAUGCGAUUCGGUGAGAUUUUCAAGUCCGAUCCGAAGUCCAUCUCAAGAAUCAUUUUGGACUUCGAACUGUUUUGGAUCAGACGAUCGGACAAGGAAACCUCGCCGCGUUGUACAGGAGGAAUUUCUCUUCCAUCUGUUUAAGCUUUGAAUGAUUUUUGUUAAAUAAAGAAAAGGAUUUUUAAUUUUGUAA